rnacentral:rRNA from 1 species
CGGGAGAGAGAGAGCGGCGUACGGGUGCGGAACACGUGUGCAACCUGCCUUUAUCUAGAGGAUAGCCUUUCGAAAGGAAGAUUAAUACUCUAUAAUAUAUUAAUUGGCAUCAAUUGAUAUUGAAAACUCCGGUGGAUAGAGAUGGGCACGCGCAAGAUUAGCUAGUUGGUGAGGUAACGGCUCACCAAGGCAAUGAUCUUUAGGGGGCCUGAGAGGGUGAUCCCCCACACUGGUACUGAGACACGGACCAGACUCCUACGGGAGGCAGCAGUGAGGAAUAUUGGUCAAUGGGUGCAAGCCUGAACCAGCCAUCCCGCGUGAAGGAUUAAGGUCCUAUGGAUUGUAAACUUCUUUUGUAUAGGGAUAAACCUACCCUCGUGAGGGUAGCUGAAGGUACUAUACGAAUAAGCACCGGCUAACUCCGUGCCAGCAGCCGCGGUAAUACGGAGGGUGCAAGCGUUAUCCGGAUUUAUUGGGUUUAAAGGGUCCGUAGGCGGACUUAUAAGUCAGUGGUGAAAGCCUGUCGCUUAACGAUAGAACUGCCAUUGAUACUGUAAGUCUUGAGUAUAUUUGAGGUAGCUGGAAUAAGUAGUGUAGCGGUGAAAUGCAUAGAUAUUACUUAGAACACCAAUUGCGA